GUGCACGACCUCGACCAGCUGGUCGCCUGAUCUCGUUUAGCAGGGCAGGAGCCUGUGUUCCCAUUUCUUACUAGCUGGGCUGCCGAUGACCUAGCUCAGCCUUGGUUUUCCUCCGGUUGAACAAAAGCUGGCAAGAGCUGCCUCCCGGAUCGCAGUGAGGACUCUAAGGGAACGAGGGCGAACGCGCUUUGGAAAGCCAGUUGCUGAGCAGAUGGUAAGGGAUCACUUCCAAGAGCCAGGGCUAGUUUCAUUUCAGUCUUGGACACGAGAUGGUCUCAAUGCCUUCAUUAAUGAACAUUCUCCUUAGAAGUCUGGAGAACUGACCCAAGAAGAAGGACCAACAAUUCAGGCUCAGGAAAGCCCACAAUUCCACAGGGGAACCAGGACUGCAUGGCUUCGAAUCCCAGCCCUCCCCACUCAGGAAACAUUGCUCCCCAAACGGCACGGAUUUCUGGACGCCUCCACCUUAAGACAGCUACUUCAGCCAGAACGUGGGACAGGCACUAACGGGAUAUCACCCUUGGGGAUAAACACGCUCCAGUUUCCUGUGGACGGUGGAAGAGGAAAGAACAGGAGAAGCUGCCAAAGGGAUGGGGUGUAGGAAGCUCAUCCUUGCACGUUUAGACUAGGGAAGAAGAGAAUAUUAGGGAUGGGGGAGGGGGGAGGAUGGGAAGUGUAGUUUUUCCCCUUCCUUCCUUUCAUUUCAGAUCCCAUUUAGUGCUUUUAUUUCUUUAAUUUUGAAAACUAUUUCCCUUUCCUGAAUCUGGAUGCGGGCAGGGAGCGAACUCAAGGAAAUGAUGAGCAUGGAUGAGAGCCAGGGGACAGGAGAUAUGUCCUGGGAACUCAAACUCUGCUGCUUCGCCACUGUCUCCGAGAUGCCCUGAGCCUUAGCCCAAUGUAAAGGGAGCUGAUUGGGUGUAUGGGCAGUGGCGGGUGGUCUGAGUAAGAAAUAAAAUGAGGGCAAGCCAGAUCUACUCCCAUCCCAAAGCAUUAAAAGACACACCUCCCCACCCCUCAGCUGUCUUGUGUCCGGCAGAAUGGCAUUAUGUAAAAGAUCUGGCAUGUCACCCAGUGGCACAUCUGGUAGGUGUAGAUGGCAUUCAUUAGCACGGGGCUUCUACUCUGCAGCAUGCCAAAGCUCUGACAGAGAUGCCCGCUGCCAAUCAUUCAUUGGCUGCCAAUCCCCAAGCGCGGCCGGGCGGGAUGGCUUCCUUCCACCCUGGCAUCAGGAGUGGAGGAAACAAUGUGUUGAGAUAGAAGAGAUGAAAGUGGAGCUGAGGAUGCGAGGCACCCAACAGAUGUAUCCCAUGAGGAGAUAACGGUGCUAAAAGUCAUUUAGCAAGAAAGCAUAUGCAGGAUCUCAGGAGGGAGGCUUGGGCAGGGGGUCUGCUUGCCUAGGGCUGAGCUGAAGGAAAAGCAGGGGAGCCCUUUCAGAAACCUGAAAGUUGAGGUUGCUUCUCUAAAAACACACAAAGACCAAAACCUCAACCCCCUAAGUGUAGGAUUUCCCCCUCUCUUUGGUUUGUCACUUGUAUCUCUUUUUAUCUAGCAACCUAACUACCUCUGUAAAGGUCAACCUUUGUCAUGUUUUUUUCUGAGGACCGAGAUGAAGAGCACCUUCCUGUUUUAAAUUUUGCAUAAUUCUCAUAGACUAGUAAUUUGGGGGCUAAGGGGAGGAAGACUGUCAGGCUAUCUUCAGUGCAUCGUAAAAGGCAAAGGUCUUAUUUCCAUUAUUAGCUUUUCAGAGGGGAUAAAGAUGAACAAAGGAAAGCAAGGAAAUUAUUAAAAUGGCAAAGGAAGAUUAAACACAAAAUCCAGGAUAGAGGUUGCCUUUGAGGUUGUUCUUUUUCUUAGGCUGGGUGGCAAUUAACAAAGUGUUCAGCGUAGUUUUUCUUUAUGCCAUAUACAUAUUUUACAUUCUUUUUAUCCAUUCACAACUUAAUAAAGCAACAACAAAACUCAGGGCUUUGAAAGUUUGUGGAACUUGGUGUUUAAGUUGACUCUAACUUAAGCUCUUUAGUUUAUAUAUAUAAUAUAUAUUUGUGUGUAUUAUCUAUACAAUUAUACUCUUUUUAGUAUAUGUUAUAAAAUAUUUGGGACAUAUACUAUAAAUUUAUUCAUAUUUUAUCUAAAACUGAAACUUUAGUUGGCCAUUACAUAUAUUUAUUUGCUAAAUCUAGCAACCUUGGGUAUGUUGGCUCAUGGUCACAAUAUAGCUGCUGUAAUUCCAAGCAUCAAACCAUCGUUUUAAACAUGAAGAAAGGAACAGGGGCAAAAAGCUGUGGUUGUUUGCUUAAUCAAUGAAAAGAAUACUUUCACUUUCAUUAGGCAGACCUGGAUCUCCUGGCCACAUAUACAUGCAAAAGAGUUUGGGAAAAUUAGCCUUUAAAGUAUAAAAAGAUAGCGAUAAAGGACUGGGGAUGGUUGUUGGGUUGCAAUCAAAGGUGUCUGACAAAGAAACCGAAGAUCAAAGAAGAGUUAAUGUUAACAUCAAACAAGAGUAUAGCUUAUCAAGUUUUUUCAUUGUUUUAAAUAAAAGUUUUCUGUUUUCAUUAUUGUGAUUAAAGGGAUACUGUUCUUGA
rnacentral:lncRNA from 1 species